GAUGAACGCUGGCGGCGUGCUUAACACAUGCAAGUCGAACGGAAAGGCUCCUGCCUGCAGGGGUACUCGAGUGGCGAACGGGUGAGUAACACGUGGGUGAUCUGCCCUGUACUUCGGGAUAAGCUUGGGAAACUGGGUCUAAUACCGGAUAUGACAAUCUCUUGGAUGGGGUUGUGGAAAGCUUUUGCGGUAUGGGAUGAGCUCGCGGCCUAUCAGCUUGUUGGUGGGGUAAUGGCCUACCAAGGCGUCGACGGGUAGCCGGCCUGAGAGGGUGUACGGCCACAUUGGGACUGAGAUACGGCCCAGACUCCUACGGGAGGCAGCAGUGGGGAAUAUUGCACAAUGGGCGCAAGCCUGAUGCAGCGACGCCGCGUGGGGGAUGACGGCCUUCUGGUUGUAAACUCCUUUCGCAACCGACGAAGCUUUUGUGACGGUAGGUUGAGAAGAAGCACCGGCUAACUACGUG
rnacentral:rRNA from 1 species